rnacentral:rRNA from 1 species
AGAACGCUGGCGGCAGGCCUAACACAUGCAAGUCGAACGAGAUCUUCGGAUCUAGUGGCGGACGGGUGAGUAACGCGUGGGAAUAUGCCCUUUGGUACGGAAUAGCCUCGGGAAACUGAGAGUAAUACCGUAUGUGUCCUCUGAUCGUGGUGGUUGGAGGAGAAAGAUUUAUCGCCAAAGGAUUAGCCCGCGUUGGAUUAGAUAGUUGGUGGGGUAAUGGCCUACCAAGUCUACGAUCCAUAGCUGGUUUGAGAGGAUGAUCAGCCACACUGGGACUGAGACACGGCCCAGACUCCUACGGGAGGCAGCAGUGGGGAAUCUUAGACAAUGGGGGCAACCCUGAUCUAGCCAUGCCGCGUGAUCGAUGAAGGCCUUAGGGUUGUAAAGAUCUUUCAGUUGGGAAGAUAAUGACGGUACCAACAGAAGAAGCCCCGGCUAACUCCGUGCCAGCAGCCGCGGUAAUACGGAGGGGGCUAGCGUUAUUCGGAAUUACUGGGCGUAAAGCGCACG